rnacentral:rRNA from 1 species
CACGUAGGGCGCAAGCGUUAAUCGGAAUUACUGGGCGUAAAGCGUGCGCAGUCGGUUAUUUAAGUCGGAUGUGAAAUCCCCGGGCUCAACCUGGGAAUUGCAUUCGAUACUGGAUGGCUAGAGUUCGGCAGAGGGAAGUGGAAUUUCAGGUGUAGCGGUGAAAUGCGUAGAUAUCUGAAGGAACAUCAGUGGCGAAAGCGACUUCCUGGACCAGAACUGACGAUCAGGCACGAAAGCGUGGGGAGCAAACAGG